rnacentral:lncRNA from 1 species
UUUCAUUUAAGUUUAUUUCACACCAUCAUGACUUUGUCUCUCAUGAAUAUGUUUGAGUAAACCAAUUGUUAGAUUUAGGUUUCUCACCAUGGUUGAAAUUAUGUACUGCUAAUAUGACUAUAUAAAAGGUGUUUUGAUUGUUCUUUCAUUGCUUGUGAACUUAAUGCUAAAAUUGAGAUUGAUCACCUUCAUUUUAGAUCUUAGGAUUAAUUGAG